rnacentral:lncRNA from 1 species
GACAUGAAUAUGUCACCGAAAUCUAAAAUCUGAAAUAAAAAACAAAAGGUUAAUAAAGUAAACUGGAGAUCUGAUCUCAAUACCUUCGGAUCCUGUGGAUGUCCAGAGUUCCUGUCAUAGUCGCACAAGCGUCCGGCCUCUACUGGUAUCCACACGGAGAUGCCUAAUUGAAGCAUCGAGGCCAUCGGUGUGCUAGCACCUUGCAGGCCUCGCUCCUCAACUUUAGAUCUAGAUCUUCUUCUAGAAUUCGAAGAAGAAGGCUGCAUGAAUCCUUUUGCAUAGAUCUGACAGGAUCUGAACCGAACCACCA